AUUGAACGCUGGCGGCAGGCCUAACACAUGCAAGUCGAACGGUAACAGGAAGCAGCUUGCUGCUUUGCUGACGAGUGGCGGACGGGUGAGUAAUGUCUGGGAAACUGCCUGAUGGAGGGGGAUAACUACUGGAAACGGUAGCUAAUACCGCAUAACGUCGCAAGACCAAAGAGGGGGACCUUAGGGCCUCCUGCCAUCGGAUGUGCCCAGAUGGGAUUAGCUAGUAGGUGGGGUAACGGCUCACCUAGGCGACGAUCCCUAGCUGGUCUGAGAGGAUGACCAGCCACACUGGAACUGAGACACGGUCCAGACUCCUACGGGAGGCAGCAGUGGGGAAUAUUGCACAAUGGGCGCAAGCCUGAUGCAGCCAUGCCGCGUGUAUGAAGAAGGCCUUCGGGUUGUAAAGUACUUUCAGCGGGGAGGAAGGGAGUAAAGUUAAUACCUUUGCUCAUUGACGUUACCCGCAGAAGAAGCACCGGCUAACUCCGUG
rnacentral:rRNA from 1 species